rnacentral:rRNA from 1 species
UACUACAGCUUGGCACUGAACAUUGACCCUACAUGUGUAGGAUAGGUGGGAGGCUUUGAAGCACGUACGCCAGUAUGUGUGGAGCCGUCCUUGAAAUACCACCCUUGUAGUGUUGAUGUUCUAACGUCGACCCCUUAUCGGGGUUGCGGACAGUGCCUGGUGGGUAGUUUGACUGGGGCGGUCUCCUCCCAAAGAGUAACGGAGGAGCACGAAGGUGGGCUAAUCACGGUUGGACAUCGUGAGGUUAGUGCAAUG